GAUAAACGCUGGCGGCGCACAUAAGACAUGCAAGUUGAACGGACUUAAUCGAAAUAUUUAUAUUUUGAAGCGGUUAGUGGCGGACUGGUGAGUAACGCGUAAGGAACCUGCCUAUUAGAGGGGAAUAACAGUGAGAAAUCAUUGCUAAUACCGCAUAUGCCAUAGAUAUCACAUGAUAACAGUGGGAAAGGAGCAAUCCGCUAAUAGAUGGCCUUGCGUCUGAUUAGAUAGUUGGUGGGGUAACGGCCUACCAAGUCGACGAUCAGUAGCCGGACUGAGAGGUUGAGCGGCCACAUUGGGACUGAGAUACGGCCCAGACUCCUACGGGAGGCAGCAGUCGGGAAUAUUGCGCAAUGGAGGAAACUCUGACGCAGUGACGCCGCGUAUAGGAAGAAGGUUUUGGGAUUGUAAACUAUUGUCGUUAGGGAAGAGAAAGGACAGUACCUAAGGAGGAAGCUCCGGCUAACUACGUG
rnacentral:rRNA from 1 species